ensembl:lncRNA
GGGGCUGCGCCCCCGCGGGGGGGCGGCGGCGGCGGGGGGGGGGGGGCGGGGGGCGGCGGGGGGGGCGCGGGAAGGGCGACGCGGCGGCUCCGCACGGACACACCGAGAGAGAGCAGCGGCGGGAGGAGCGGCGGGAGCGGAGGAUGAGGAGGAGGAAGAUGAGGAGGAGGAGGAGGAGGAGGAGGAGGAGGAGGGAGGGGCGGGGGCGCGCGCGCGCGCUCCCGACUCGAGGCGGCCCCGGUGGGGGAGUGCGGGGAGAGGAGAGCGGAGAGGGAGGGAGGGAGGGGUGGGGGGGGGUGGCGGUGGUGGUGGUGAGGGAGGGAGGCAGGCACGCGGACGGCGCGUGCGCGUGCGCGCGGCGGCGCCACGCGGCCGCGCACGUAGCGCGCGCGGGGGGUCGAGGAGCGGGAGGCGGGCGCGGGGGGGGGGGCGGGGGGGGGGGAAGGCGACGGGAGGAGUUGCGUAAGCGGUGGCGGGAACUGCGCGUGCGCAAAGCCACGCCCCGAGCGGCCGCGCCUCCUCUCUGGGCCACGCCCACUCUGCGCGCGGCUGCUGGGCACGCCCCUCCCCCCGUAACGGGGAUCCCGGUAAUGGGGGAUCCCGGUAAUGGGGAUCCUGGUGGGCCCCGGUAAUGGGGAUCCCGGUAACGGGGGAUCCCGGUAACGGGGAUCCCGGUAAUGGGGAUCCUGGUGGGCCCCGUUAAUGGGGGAUCCCGGUAAUGGGGAUCCCGGUAAUGGGGGAUCCCGGUAAUGGGGGAUCCCGGUAACGGGGGAUCUUGGUGGGCCCCGGUAAUGGGGAUCCCGGUAACGGGGGAUCCCGGUAAUGGGGGAUCCUGGUGGGCCCCGUUAAUGGGGGAUCUCGGUAAUGGGGAUCCUCAUGGGCCCCGGUAAUGGAGGAUCCCGGUAAUGGGGAUCCUGGUGGGCCCCGUUAAUGGGGGAUCCCGGUAAUGGGGAUCCCGGUAAUGGGGGAUCCUGGUAAUGGGGGAUCCCGGUGGGCCCCGGUAAUGGGGGAUCCCGGUAACGGAGGAUCUCGGUAAUGGGGGAUCCCGGUAAUGGGGGAUCCCGGUAAUGGGGGAAUCCCAGUAACGGGGGAUCCUGGUGGGCCCCGGUAAUGGGGGAUCCCGGUAAUGGAGGAUCCCAGUAAUGGGGAUCCCGGUAACGGGGGAUCCUGGUGGGCCCCGGUAAUGGGGGAUCCCGGUAAUGGAGGAUCCCGGUAACGGGGGAUCCUGGUAAUGGGGAUCCCGUUAAUGGGGGAUCCAGGUAACGGGGGAUCCUGGUAAUGGGGGAUCCCGGUGGGUCCCGGUAAUGGAGGAUCCCGGUAACGGGGGAUCCUGGUAACGGGGGAUCCCGGUGAGCCUUGGUAAUGGGGGAUCCAGGUAAUGGGGGAUCCCGGUAACGGGGGAUCCCGGUAAUGGGGGAUCCAGGUAACGGGGGAUCCCGGUAAUGGGGGAUCCAGGUAAUGAGGGAUCGGGGUAAUGGGGAUCCCGGUAAUGGGGGAUCCAGGUAACGGGGGAUCCCGGUAAUGGGGGAUCCCGGUAAUGGGGGAUCCAGGUAACGGGGGAUCCCGGUAAUGGGGGAUCCCGGUAAUGGGGGAUCCUGGUGGGCCCCGGUAAUGGGGGGCUGGCAGAGUGCACCCCGGUAAUGGGGGAUCCCGGUGCACCCCGUCUGGGUGGGGUAAAUAGCACGGUGCACCUCGUUAGCAGGGGGCUCCCAGGUCACACAGUUUGGGGUGACAGUGACAUGGGGCACCCCAUUAGUGGAGCCUCCCAGUAUUCCCAGUUCAGGGGGAUGACGGCUCCUGGGUCUCCCGGUGCACUCAGAUGGGGGGGCAGAGCUGGAAUGGUGCCCCCGUUAUUGAGCCGCCUUUGUUCUCCUCUAUGUUUUAAUUUUAUUGAUCACUUUUUCCAGCAGAUCCCAAACCAGCAGUGCAUGGGAUUUCUCCAGGGUUCCCAUUAUCCUGCCCAGCCCUCUGAGAACUCCUCGGCUCCUGUCACUUCUAUGUGGAGGACACAGGUCCCUUUCUCCAGGGAUUCAGCCACUUCUGUGCCCCCCAGACCCAGAUAAGGCAGCGGAGCUCAGGGUGUAGCUAUCGCCAACCUCCAGUGCUGAAAAAUGGUGAAAUCAGAUAAAAACCUCUUGGAUUUCACCACAAAAAUGGGAUGUGUGGAGCAGGGAGGGGUCCUGUCCACCGGGCUUGUCUGGGCAGCGACGUGGGGUUGGUUUUCUCCCCACCCUAAACCAACAACCACUCUCUUCCUCCUCUUCCUCCUCCUCCUCUUCUUCCUCAUGCUUGAAGUGCAGCAUCCAGGUGAAUCCUGGGUGUUGCAGGACUUCCAGGAUAACCCUCCCAGGAAAACCCUUUGUGGCCAGGCUCACAUCCUACAAAUAAAAUAAAACAAAUAAAUAAAAUCUGAAUUUCUUGUGCAGGAAGACCCCCAAGGUCUCCUGCAGCCCUUGGGGGCUCCCCCAGCACAUUCCAGGGUCUCCUGGAAGAUGCUCCGUGAGGAAUCCAGCUGGAAAAGCCAUGCACACGGUGCAGAGAGCAGUAUUCCAGGGAAAUACUGCAGGAUGGCUGGUUGGGAGUGUGACAAACACCAGCAGGAAGCUUAAAAAUCCACAAUAAAGGCUUUUAUAUGGGAAAAAAAUAAAAGGAAGGGUGAAAAAUUUCUGUCGCUUCUGGGGUGGCAGCCUCAGCCGUGCUCUGGAGUUUGGAUCCAGGAACUCAUCCGCUGCCUCCAUGAGGCGUUAAAUAUGGAUUUAAUUAAUCUCAGCCCACAAAAGUGCUCUGAAGGGCUUGGGGGUGCCACAACCUCCCUCGUUUUAAGGAGGAAGCACAACUGUCAGAAGCUGGGAAUCAUCCUUAGCCUUCCACCACUGGAAACUGGGAUUGAACCUUGUUUUUUUUAUCCCAUUCCUUCCCCAACGAGAUUUAUUUUUGUGUAAAAGUGGUAAACUUUGCUGUUUAAAAAAGAUAAGUCAGUGCCGAGCCAGGGAGGGAGGGAGCAGGGAUUCAAGGCAGGAAUGGGGAUUUGAGGAAGGAACGGGGAUUUGAGGAGGGGAG